rnacentral:rRNA from 1 species
UACGUAGGGUGCAAGCGUUGUCCGGAAUUAUUGGGCGUAAAGAGCUCGUAGGCGGUUUGUCGCGUCUGCUGUGAAAUCCCGAGGCUCAACCUCGGGCCUGCAGUGGGUACGGGCAGACUAGAGUGCGGUAGGGGAGAUUGGAAUUCCUGGUGUAGCGGUGAAAUGCGCGGAUAUCAGGAGGAACACCAACAGCGAAGGCAGAUCUCUGGGACGUUACUGACGCUGAGACGCGAAAGCGUGGGGAGCAAACAGG